UACGUAGGGGGCAAGCGUUGUCCGGAUUUACUGGGCGUAAAGCGCGCGUAGGCGGUUUGGUCAGUCGGCUGUGAAAUCGCUCGGCUCAACUGGGCGGGGUCGGCCGAUACUACCGAACUGGAGGGCAGCAGAGGGAGACGGAAUUCCCCGAGUAGUGGUGAAAUGCGUAGAGACGGGGAAGAACACCAGUGGCGAAGGCGGUCUCCUGGGCUGUACCUGACGCUGAGGUGCGAAGGCGUGGGGAGCGAACCGG
rnacentral:rRNA from 1 species